UCAUCCCAAAGGACCAAUGUAUUUCUGUUUUUUUCUAUAAUUAUAGUCUAAUACAAAGGUGAUUAAUUAUCGUUAUUAAAUUAUUCCUUUAACGAGAACCAUGUUAUUAUCGAUGUUCAGGAAACCAUAGAAGUCUGAUUUUCAAGGUAGAAUGCCGCUGGACAUGUCUUACAACUUACUUAAUUCUGACCUCCCGGCAUGCAAAGGGAUAUAUGAUACAGGCAUCCAUCGGAUCGCAGUUAGUCUCAAAAUUCCAGAGGAGACUGAAAGAGGGAGAAUGCUAUAUGAUUAUGAACUUUGAGAUUUUAGAUAAUGGAGGGAGUUAUAGAGCCAAUUCUCAUCCCUACAAGAUCAACUUCAUUAACCAAGUUUGUGAGCACUGAGCAGAUAUCAAACUUGGAAUUCCGUUUCAACUUUGUCACUUUCCCUGAUAUACAAGCUCGAUCUGACAAUGACAAAGUUUUCAUCGACGUUAUUGGUGAGAUCAUUGGAAUGAACGAACUCAAAGUGGUUAUUGUUUCGGGACGACAUACAAAAAUAUUAAAUUUACAGCUCAGAGA